CAGAAUGCUGACAGCACCCAUGAAACCCUAACAAUGUGGCUGCCUACAAGAGACCUGGAUAGCGACAACCACAGUGGACACCACAAUGUGGAUGGGGAAAACUGCGCAAGGCCCUUCUGUAGGUGAAGAGACAUAGGCAAUGGUUGGUUAGAGGAAAAUCAUCUUCUCCGUGGAUAAAGGAGGAAGUGAGUGGGAGAAGGUGAGGGAAACAGCACAAUUACAGGACUCACGGGGGACUCCUAGAAAAUAACACGACGGAGGAAUCCGAAACCUCCAGUGUAACAAUGAAACCAUGAUGUAGAGGAUAAUAGUUUUGUGACAGGAAAUUUAAAAAAGAAAGGAAAAAAGUCUCUCCAAGCAAAUAACCAUUAUUUUAAAAAUCAGCAAGUUAGCUCCGUGAACCAUCUACCAGUCAUCUUGCUAUUCUCUUCUGAAGCAGCGCAAAUUCUGCUACACAUGUGGGAAGAUUUUAGGAAUUGAUGCAGCAAACGUGACUCGAUUCGCAAUGUGAAGAAACGGUGCGUGCCGUUUGACAUUCCCAGCUCCAGACGGGGGGAUGACCUGCUUCGUCCGCUAGUGAUGACUGAUUCUUCAGGUACUGCAGAAGCCGUGUAGAGAACGACCAGAUAAGACUGAAGAGACUAUAGUCAACUAGAACAUCAUACAAGCAGUGGGUCAUCUGGUUAGUAUAGACCCAUCCUACUCAUGAGGAAGAGACUUCACGGAUCAAGUAUAGACUUAUAUUUUAAAUAUUAAUCACUGGUUAUCUGAAAUUCAAAUUUAACUGGCAAUGUUGUAUUUUUAUUUACAAUCACUGGGAACAUUCACUGUAGGUUGAGUGACUCCAGAAAAAUAGAAACUUAGUUGGAUAAGGAUGAUUUCAAUCUAGAUUGGAGUUCAAAAAGAAAUAUGUGGAAAUGACACUUUUCUCAUCAUGGCUGAAUUGCCUGUGUGUUGUAGACACUGCCUCUCUAAUGUCCACACCGAGAGCUCACUAAUCAAAAAGUCACAUCUCAAAUAAAAACAUAGGAAUCUUCCCUUAGGAGUUUAAACUCUUUCCCUGGACAAAGGGUCUAGGAGAUACAGUGGCCUUCUUGAUGCUCAACCAAUGUCUGAGUCACGUAAGGGACAGCUAGGGUUUCGUCACCUUCAUCUUCCCAGGCAUUUUGCUUUGUUUCUGGCAAAGGAUGCUCUAUGUACCCGACUUUUUGCUCCAAACAUACUUUCUCUCGAAGAGUCAAAGAGUGUUUCCACAUCAAAGAGAUUCCCACCUGAAAACAGCAAGAAGAGAUGGUUGCUAACCACUGAAAGAGCUCAGCUAUCUGAGGAUCCAGAUGCUUGUGAAGAGAAAGAAGCACAUUCUUGGAAAGGAUAAGACCAUGGCCAAGUUAGAGGAUGAAAAGGACCAGCUUUCUCCUGUCUCCCGAGGGAAACUGAGGUCCCGUGACAUUGCUUCAUCUUUCUGGAGCCAAGGCAGCAGAGAGCAGAGACAGGCAUUCCCUAGGGUCGGUAAGGAAAUGACUAAAGGUCUCAGUUGGAAGGGGCCGCUGAGAUCAUGGAGGGGCCUUCCUCCUCUCAUGCAUUUGAGAAUGGAAUCUGU